rnacentral:rRNA from 1 species
UACGGGGGGGGGAAGCGUUGUUCGGAAGUACUGGGCGGAAAGGGCUCGUAGGCGGCCAACUAAGUCAGACGUGAAAUCCCUCAGCUUAACUGGGGAACUGCGUCUGAUACUGGAUGGCUUGGAUUCGGGAGAGGAAUGCGGAAUUCCAGGUGUAGCGGUGAAAUGCGUAGAUAUCUGGAGGAACACCGGUGGCGAAGGCGGCAUUCUGGACCGACAUUGACGCUGAGGAGCGAAAGCCAGGGGAGCAAACGGG